GAGUUUGAUCUUGGCUCAGGAUGAACGCUGGCGGCGUGCUUAACACAUGCAAGUCGAACGAGGAAUUUUAAAUGAGACUUCGGUGGAUUUUAAAAUUCUUAGUGGCGGACGGGUGAGUAACGCGUGGGCAACCUGCCCUGUACAGGGGGACAACAGCUGGAAACGGCUGCUAAUACCGCAUAAGACCACGGAGCCGCAUGGCUCAGUGGGAAAAACUACCGGUGGUACAGGAUGGGCCCGCGUUGGAUUAGGUAGUUGGUGAGGUAACGGCCCACCAAGCCGACGAUCCAUAGCCGACCUGAGAGGGUGACCGGCCACGUUGGGACUGAGACACGG
rnacentral:rRNA from 1 species